GAAGAAGGAGAGAGAGCGAAUCAGAGGCAGAGAGAGGAAGAAACUGACCAACCAUGGGAAGGAAAUGAGGGAAAGGAGGGAGAGUGGUGCACGGGGGAAAAGGAGGAACGGGUCGUUCUUGACCCGUGCGGCCCGCGCGCGACCCGUCGGUGUUCUUCACCAAAUUUCGUCGAAAUUUCACCAUUUUUCCGGACCUAGAACAAAGCCCAAGAGGUAAUUGAGGCGUUGGAACAAGUUUGAAGGUCGAAUUGGAAACACCCAAAUUCUAGGGUUCUUCACGGUUUUGGUGAAAUUGAAGCACUUCCAGGCCAAAUUGGCCUUGGUCUCAGGCGCUAAUCUUCAUGACGCCUUGAUGUGUGGUGCUAGGGAGUUGUUGAGCGAACUCCAGGUUCAAGUUAGCAGAGCUUUGGUGGCCACGAGGAAUCCAACGGUGUUCUGACAGAAUUCACAAAAGUAGGACUCACCCUCGGGUGUGUCAUCUUAGUAAUUGGAAAUUUUUUUUUAAAGCUUCUGAACUAUGUAAAUGGUUACGUCACUCUCACGUGACGGCCAGCACGCCCUCCUUCGGGACGGGGUGUGUCAAAUAACAU
rnacentral:sRNA from 1 species